rnacentral:rRNA from 1 species
UACGUAGGGGGCAAGCGUUGUCCGGAAUCAUUGGGCGUAAAGAGCGUGUAGGCGGCCCGGUAAGUCCGCUGUGAAAGUCCAGGGCUCAACCCUGGGAUGCCGGUGGAUACUGUCGGGCUCGAGUCCGGAAGAGGAGUGUGGAAUUCCUGGUGUAGCGGUGAAAUGCGCAGAUAUCAGGAGGAACACCAAUGGCGAAGGCAGCACUCUGGGACGUGACUGACGCUGAGACGCGAAAGCGUGGGGAGCGAUCCGG